GAUUUCUGAUACGAUAUGUCUAGCCCGCCAGGGUUAUCCUGUGUGAGUGCUGGAAUUAUUAUCGAUCAUCCGUUCUAGAACACUCUUUCUCUGUUAUUCUGUAAAAGGAGUAUAUAGUGAAAGGUUAACGUGUCUAUCUAGAUCUUUUACUUUGAACAAAUUAGAGUGUUUCAAGCAGGCGUUGUUUGCGUUGAAUACAUUAGCAUGGAAUAAUCGAAUAGGACUUUGGUUCUAGUUUUCGUUGGUUUCAAGAACUAAAGUAAUGAUUGAUAGGGAUAGUUGGGGGUGCUAGUAUUCAGUGGCCAGAGGUGAAAUUCUUGGAUUCACUGAAGACUAACUAAUGCGAAAGCAUU
rnacentral:rRNA from 1 species